UUAGGCUUAGUGCUGCUAACAGACAAAGAUGAACCAAAAUAAGUACACAGGAACAUUCAGCAUUUACAAACUUCUGAUGUUUUUCAGUUUUCAAUGUCUCUGCUGCUUUCCAUUGUUCUUGCUUCACUAAUGAAAUAUGAGGCCACCUGUGGUGAAGGGAAGAAACACCAAGAAAACAGCCUCUGAAACUGCAGAAGAGGAGGAUGAAGGUAGCUUUCAACUUAUACACAGGGUUCAUCCUGUUCUGACUACCAUUUCUUAUUUCACAGAUAGUGGCUUGGCCUAUAACUUUGCAAAGGGUUAAUUAUUUAGACUAAAGUUUUCUGUGCCAGACAACUGCAUUAGGACACUCAAGCCAAAAUAACUGAGCUGAUUGAAAUUAGGCAGACACGCUGUAUUUUCCUUCCCUAGCAGAUAGUGGCAGCCUUUUCCCAUCAUCCACACUAGACUUAAUACAUGAAGUUGGGCAAAAUAUCAAGUCCCUGACUGAAGCAGAAAGGCAAAGCUCCCAAAAGCACAAUAACAAACUUGACUUAACACCACGUUAAUGCAAGUCUUACCAUCUCUAGUGCACAGUUUCAGCUACCUGAAAAAAAACCUUGGCUAGUCCUAACUUCGAGAAAAGAAAAUAAAACCCACAGGGAUUCUCAAUACUCCACAAUGCUUGGCAAAGGAUGGAUGUCAGGAUUUCCCAGCACAAGAUUCCAGUUUCGGCAACGCAAGAGUGGCACCUACUGUUCAGGCUGUAGCAAACUGCUGGAACAGAGCCACGGUGACUGUGUGCCACCCCUGCAGUGAGAAUAGACCUUCUGGUCUCAAACAGGAGGCUGCAUAGAAACAUGAACAUCCAGCCAAUACUCGGACUAUGCAACUAGACCAAUGUGAAGCCAGAAAGCUUCAGCUGCUUGAAAGUCUCAGGAAAGUUUCUUAAGAACAAGAGAUAAUGAUGGAGUGGGAGAGGACAGAAAAGCUGAACAGAGAAUAGGAAAUUACAGGAGAAAGCAUGGAAGAGGCAGGACCUGAUACAGACAGCUCACUGGAACAAGGCUAGGACUGAGGAGUGAGUACUUGAAAAGGAUAAAGUUUGAGGAAAGCAGACAGAGCAGCAUGCUGACUGUGACAUCCCUGUCACUCAAGCCUAAAACAGCUUGUUCUUGGUGAAUUUCACCUGCUGCUGUCAGCACAGAUGUGUGAUAUCACACACAGACUCAGAUCCUGGAGUACAACAGAUUACUUUACUGGAGUAUAACAGCUACUUUUGUUUGCAGUUCAAGAGAAAGAUGGAAUGGAUGUGUCCAUUACAACAGCUACAGUACCAGCAGGAAACCAAUACUGUGGCAGUCUUUUCAACCCCCUCUAAAUUACAGAUUAAAAAACAACGCAUUAUACCAAGUCCUACAACUAAAGCCAGAAGUGACCACCAAGCUGAGUUCUUUAUGCACCAAGGCCACUACUGGUCUUACUGAUCAAUUUCUUGCAUUCUCCCUAUCUGCCUGUUUCCAUCUGCUUUUCUUUAAUACUUCAGACUACAGCCUUUUUAGAGUCAGCACCACAUCUGCACUAACAGAACAAAGUGAGGUCUAUUACUAUGAUGAAAUAUGAUUAUAAUUACUCUAAUAGAAGUUAUUAUGGUGGCAAAAAAUAAUUUAAAAUAUUUUAAAAUAGUUUUCAAAUUCUGUGGAAUUUCAAGUUCCUGUUUUGCAGGAUAGAGAAAUAAUUUGUCAGGAGUUAAAUGCUGGUUUUUGGCUUCUUAAGCAAUCUGGGUUGUAAAGGUCCCAGAGUAUGACUAUGACUACAUACCUUCAUUGUUUUCUGCUUCUUCCUUUGUUUCUUUGAGAGCCUGUAAAGAUAAUUUUUAAAUUACCAUUUUUUACAGAAAACCCUCAAAACCUAGUACAGUUUCUAAAAAGACAUCAAGCUAUACUUUUCCUUUAUCCUCACAACAUGCUAUUAAGUAGCCACAAAAAGAAAGUUACUCAAGCCAGAAUUAAAACAAUAGGUCUCCCAAACUACUCAUUGCAUUUAGUAAAACAUUUGUUCUGCUCAGACUGAAUCCAAAGAUAAACACCAGUGAGAUAGUUGGGAUUAUGCUCUGUUUCAAAAAUUAAGUUGUGUAACAAUUCUGAUUUUGAGCACAUUCAUUUUCUAUUUAUGCCAGCAAUCAACUGACAGUAAGUACCAAAUCAAUAAGCACGAGCUCUGUGGAAGUCCCUCUGCUUGAAAAAUAACAAACCCUUUUUUUCCUUAACAUAUAACUUUAGGCAUAUGUUAAGGAAACAUAGCAGAGAAAAACUAAGUCUGUUUUAUGGCACUUGAAUGCAGUCAUGCAAAGGCAUGUGUUUUACUGGAACUCUGCUGCUAAGAAGUAUUUCAAAUUACACAAUAAUGACAGCAAUGUAGUAGCAAAUUGUCAGGAGCACCCUCUGAAGGCCACUGAGACUUAGUAAAUCAUGAGUCAUGAUAAAAUUAAAAACAAUUUGAAGUACUUCUGUUUGGGUAUGCCUUCUGUUUCUUCUUCCUCUUUGGUCUGUAUUCCAUCUGCAUCAUCCGAAGGCACAGGAAAUCUCCCUUCCUCCUCUUCCAACUGCUGUCUUAACAGUGACACCAUCUCUCGAUGCUUCUUU